GACGAACGCUGGCGGCGUGCUUAACACAUGCAAGUCGAACGGUGACGACAGGGCUUGCCCUGUCUGAUCAGUGGCGAACGGGUGAGUAACACGUGAGCAACCUGCCCCAGACUCUGGGAUAACCCCGGGAAACCGGAGCUAAUACCGGAUAUGACACUCGCACGCAUGUGCAGGGUGUGGAAAGUUUUUCGGUCUGGGAUGGGCUCGCGGCCUAUCAGCUUGUUGGUGAGGUAGUGGCUCACCAAGGCGACGACGGGUAGCCGGCCUGAGAGGGCGACCGGCCACACUGGGACUGGGACACGGCCCAGACUCCUACGGGAGGCAGCAGUGGGGAAUAUUGCACAAUGGGCGAAAGCCUGAUGCAGCGACGCCGCGUGAGGGAUGACGGCCUUCGGGUUGUAAACCUCUUUCAGCAGGGAAGAAGCGAAAGUGACGGUACCUGCAGAAAAAGCACCGGCUAACUACGUGCCAGCAGCCGCGGUAAGAC
rnacentral:rRNA from 1 species